GCCUAAUGAAGAAAGCAUUUUGUUUUCAACAUGAUUUUCCCAGUUCAUUAACUAACACAGAGAAAAAAGUAAGCCAUGAUCGACUUUGAAAGAGUUCAACUUUAACUUACAUCAUCACAGCUUCUUAGGAGAAGGUCCUGAGCUGUGGAAAACUCUGAGAAUUUUCAGUUCUGUUGAUCUCAGUUGAUGUUGUCCUCCAAAUCCUGUCCUUGCCUAAGAGGCUUGCAGCAUGUUCCAGAGCACAUCUGAAUCCCAGCAGAAUGACAUUCCCAAGAAGAAAGAAUUGGAACACAGCAGGAACGAGCAGGGGUGAUGCAGUUG